UAGGGAAUCUUCGGCAAUGGACGAAAGUCUGACCGAGCAACGCCGCGUGAGUGAAGAAGGUUUUCGGAUCGUAAAACUCUGUUGUUAGAGAAGAACAAGGACGUUAGUAACUGAACGUCCCCUGACGGUAUCUAACCAGAAAGCCACGGCUAACUACGUGCCAGCAGCCGCGGUAAUACGUAGGUGGCAAGCGUUGUCCGGAUUUAUUGGGCGUAAAGCGAGCGCAGGCGGUUUCUUAAGUCUGAUGUGAAAGCCCCCGGCUCAACCGGGGAGGGUCAUUGGAAACCGGGAGACUUGAGUGCAGAAGAGGAGAGUGGAAUUCCAUGUGUAGCGGUGAAAUGCGUAGAUAUAUGGAGGAACAACAGUGGCGAAGGCGGCUCUCUGGUCUGUAACUGACGCUGAGGAUCGAAAGCGUGGGGAGCAAACAGG
rnacentral:rRNA from 1 species